rnacentral:rRNA from 3 species
UGAAGAGUUUGAUCAUGGCUCAGAUUGAACGCUGGCGGCAGGCCUAACACAUGCAAGUCGAACGGUAACAGGAAGCAGCUUGCUGCUUCGCUGACGAGUGGCGGACGGGUGAGUAAUGUCUGGGAAACUGCCUGAUGGAGGGGGAUAACUACUGGAAACGGUGGCUAAUACCGCAUAACGUCGCAAGACCAAAGAGGGGGACCUUCGGGCCUCUUGCCAUCAGAUGUGCCCAGAUGGGAUUAGCUUGUUGGUGAGGUAACGGCUCACCAAGGCGACGAUCCCUAGCUGGUCUGAGAGGAUGACCAGCCACACUGGAACUGAGACACGGUCCAGACUCCUACGGGAGGCAGCAGUGGGGAAUAUUGCACAAUGGGCGCAAGCCUGAUGCAGCCAUGCCGCGUGUAUGAAGAAGGCCUUCGGGUUGUAAAGUACUUUCAGCGGGGAGGAAGGUGUUGUGGUUAAUAACCGCAGCAAUUGACGUUACCCGCAGAAGAAGCACCGGCUAACUCCGUGCCAGCAGCCGCGGUAAUACGGAGGGUGCAAGCGUUAAUCGGAAUUACUGGGCGUAAAGCGCACGCAGGCGGUCUGUCAAGUCGGAUGUGAAAUCCCCGGGCUCAACCUGGGAACUGCAUUCGAAACUGGCAGGCUUGAGUCUUGUAGAGGGGGGUAGAAUUCCAGGUGUAGCGGUGAAAUGCGUAGAGAUCUGGAGGAAUACCGGUGGCGAAGGCGGCCCCCUGGACAAAGACUGACGCUCAGGUGCGAAAGCGUGGGGAGCAAACAGGAUUAGAUACCCUGGUAGUCCACGCCGUAAACGAUGUCUACUUGGAGGUUGUGCCCUUGAGGCGUGGCUUCCGGAGCUAACGCGUUAAGUAGACCGCCUGGGGAGUACGGCCGCAAGGUUAAAACUCAAAUGAAUUGACGGGGGCCCGCACAAGCGGUGGAGCAUGUGGUUUAAUUCGAUGCAACGCGAAGAACCUUACCUGGUCUUGACAUCCACAGAACUUUCCAGAGAUGGAUUGGUGCCUUCGGGAACUGUGAGACAGGUGCUGCAUGGCUGUCGUCAGCUCGUGUUGUGAAAUGUUGGGUUAAGUCCCGCAACGAGCGCAAC